UCCAGUGGUUCUCCAGAACAAUCAUCUGGAGCAACUUCCUCCUCCUUAGGAAGGCACCGGAUUGGGACAUAGACAUACCCUUUAUGUAAUCGCAGGUUCUUCAUUGAGGCUUAAUCUGAAGUCAUUAGAUUUCUCAAAAGUUUCCAUAUGCAGUUGAUUCAACAAACUAGUUGUAACACCCCGCGUUUUGGGCUGGAACGAAAAUCGUCAUUCCUUCGCGUAAAGGUUUCAAAAGCC
rnacentral:lncRNA from 1 species